rnacentral:lncRNA from 1 species
AUGUAAUAGUUAGAUUGUGGACAUGACAAUUGUACUAUGAUGUAAUGUAAGAGAUUACAGUAUGUUAUGUAAUGAGGUAUAUUGAGGUUAUAGAUGUGCUUGACCCUAUGAGUAUUGUAAUCCCUUGUUGAUGCAUGAUCUUAGAUAUUUGAUGAUACAGAUGUUAGCCAACUCAACGCAUGUAUAUCGCCCUUUGGGGCAUUGUUGAGAUCCCAACAGAGGGAUAAAUGUAUAAGUUAUGCUAUGUUUUAGUGCAUGCACAGGUUGAGUUUGGUAUAUGAGAAAUGAAUGAAAGAAAAGUUUAAAUUUUUAUGCAUGUUGUUGAUCAUGUAUGGGAUUAUACAGGUUUACAGGUUAUAUGUCAGGCUUGCUACGGGUCCCGGCGGCCUUAAGCCGACCUGGA